UCCGGCCGGGCCGCGCGCGCAGCCUCCUUCGCGUCGCGGCGGGGAUGACGUAGAACCCGCCGUUGCCUGGCGAUGGGGUCCGAGCAGAGCGCCGAGGCUGAGGGCCGCCCUCACGACCCCGCGACAGCAUCCCCCUCGCCAGCCAAGCACCGAGCUAAAAUGGAUGACAUUGUGGUGGUGGCCCAAGGGACUCAGGCAUCAAGGAAUGUCAGCAGUGACCCAGAUGUCAUAAAACUGCAAGAAAUCCCCACUUUCCAACCUCUGUUGAAAGGUCUUCUUAGUGGGCAGAUGUCGCCUACCAACAUUAAACUCGAAAAACUUGAUUCUCAGCAAGUACUACAGCUGUGUCUCCGGUACCAGGACCACCUCCACCAGUGUGCAGAAGCUGUGGCCUUUGACCAGAAUGCUUUAGUCAAGCGGAUUAAAGAGAUGGAUCUUUCCGUAGAAACGCUCUACACUUUAAUGCAAGAGCGCCAGAAAAGGUACGCCAAGUAUGCUGAGCAGAUCCAGAAAGUCAACGAGAUGUCCGCCAUCCUUCGCCGCGUCCAGAUGGGCAUUGACCUAACUGUCCCACUGAUGGAGAGGCUGAACAGCCUGCUGCCUGAGAACGAGCGGCUGGAACCUUUUUGUAUGAAACCGGACAGGGAGCUCAAGUUAUAGCUUCCGUCCGGCCAUCUAUUCUCAGACUUGACUGCAGGACCUUGCUUGAAGCUUCAGGCUCAGGGUGAUUCAAAGAAUUACGAUGAUGAUCGCUUGCCCCAACACGGUUCCAUAUGCAGACUGGAAAGUGGUUGAAGGAUAUCGCUGUGGGCAUCUCGUCUUCUUGCUGUCAUCCGUCUUUGAGCUGGCUACCAAACUUUUCCUUCCACAAGUUUUGGGGCCUGGACGUUUGAUAGUGUGCCACAUUUUUCUUCUUCUUCUUUUUGUUUUAUGUACAUAAAAAAAGAACAGUUUGCUAUUCUAGUGUGGUGCAAUUUUUUUUUUUCAUUUGAAAUCGUUUUGGUAACUUGGAUUGUUAUUGGGAAACUCCUCUGAAAACCCCGUUUGAAACGGUAGCAGAUGCGUAUUUAAUAAACAUUGCACGACGUUGCUUACAGAAGAAGCAUUUUAAUUUUUUUUUAAUUUGGAAAGUCUGUUCUAAUCAUCAGGAAAAGAUUUAGCUGUAAUUCUGAAAGUCCCUAGCUUCUGUUUGCUCUUCUUUGGGAAAUGUUCAGUUUCGAUUGAUUUAUUCGCAGAAUCUAAACCAUCUUUUAUUAAAAAUGAAUACAUAUUAAAUGCAAUAAAACUGCAUUCAUAUUUUAUUGUAUAACAACUCUAAUCAAGAAUUAACAGCCAAGAGCGCACCUCAAGUUGUUGGGCUUUAACACGCCAAAGAUAUAUAUUUAGAAAAACAUACUUGUUAGAAGUUCAUGUUUCUAACAAAAAUGUGUAUCACCUAAAUUGGUUAUAUAUCCUUUGGCGGCAGUAUAAUAAAAGCUAGUUUUCUUCUAGCAGAAUAUUGUUACACCCGUUUUCUUACUUUGUAAAUUCAGCCUCAGUUGCUCAAGACAAACUCACUCCAUAGUUCUUGUCAAUAAAAUUCCCUAUAGCCAUUUU